UUCAGAAGAAGAAAUUUGGAA
rnacentral:piRNA from 1 species